UUCGGUCCGCUGACGAGUGGCGAACGGGUGCGUAACACGUGGAUGACCUGUCUCAAGGCGGGGGAUAACGACUGGAAACAGUUGCUAAUACCGCAUGAGCUCUACGGAGGAAAGGCUUCGGCCACCUUGAGAGGGGUCCGCGUCGGAUUAGCUAGUUGGUUGGGGUAAUGGCCCACCAAGGCGACGAUCCGUAGCUGGUCUGAGAGGAUGAUCAGCCACACUGGGACUGAGACACGGCCCAGACUCCUACGGGAGGCAGCAGUGGGGAAUAUUGCGCAAUGGGGGAAACCCUGACGCAGCAAUACCGCGUGAGUGACGAAGGCCUUCGGGUUGUAAAGCUCUUUUAGUGGGGAAGAUAGUGACGGUACCCACAGAAAAAACUCCGGCUAACCCCGUGCCAGCAGCCGCGGUAAUACGGAGGGAGUGAGCGUUGUUCGGAUUUACUGGGCGUAAAGCGCGCGUAGGUUGUUUUGUAAG
rnacentral:rRNA from 1 species